UCUCGAACUCCUGGCCUCAAGUGAUUUGCCCACCUCAGCCUCCCAAAGUGCUGGGAUUACAGGCAUGAGCCACUGUGCUCAGCCUACAACUGCCUGUAUGACCUUUCUUGUUCUGUUUCUUCUCUCCUCCCCAUAUUUCGUGGUCCAGAGAGAAAAAUAGAGAUGGUUGCAUAUUUCAGAGCAAUCAAGACUCUUUAUUCUCAAGCAUUUUAACAGCCACUAGAAGCCCCCUAUGUUUGCCACUCUGUCAGGGGGCACUUCAUGGAGUCAGGUAAGAUGCUCAUUGCCCUCUGGCACCACCUGGUCUGCCUCCAGUUGCGCAGGAUAUUGGAGGCUGCUAGAAACUUUGACUGCUAGCUCCAUGAACUGUGGCUUGGGAGCAGUAACCUAGGUCAGGAAAUAUUCCUUCCCUGGGAAACCUGGCCUUGUCCAUUUAAAUCACAGUAUUCUGCGAUUCCAACCCAUCAGGUGGAACUGACUGGAGGAGCACCUACUUUUGGAUUUUUUCCCAGUUCUCUAGUUAAUGAUUUCUUACCUGUAAGCUUAGAUUAGCUGCUGUAUAUAAGGCUUUCCCAAGGUCUGGCAGGAACCUGCCACUGCCCCGGAACUGUCAGGUUUGUAUUGCUUGCCAGGGCUCUGCAAAGAUUCUAGAGCACAUCUUUCAAAAUACUAAAUAUUUUUGUUGUAUUAUAUCCAUAUCCAUUACAGAAAAAACAGGAAAGUAUAAAGAAAUACCUCACCACCCAGGAGUAACUGUCACUGUUUGCACUCUCAGUACGCUUCUUUCUAGUUGUAAUUAUACAUACCACCACCACUACCCUGCAUACAUACAUUUUUCACAGUUAAUUUCCCUAGGCUAUUGAUAAACCCCAUUUCCCCUCGAUACUUAACACUACAGCAUGAGCGUUUUUCCACAUCGUUUUUAAAACAUUCUCAGAACAUGGUUUUUACUGUUUCUAUGGCUACAUUUAGGAACCUGCCAUGAUGUUCCUAACUGGCCUCCAUUUAAGCUGACUGCAGUUUCCUUGAUUAAUGUCUUUGUGAAUAUAUUUUAAUUUAAAUUCUUUAUUCUUUAUUUAAAAUGAACACCUCGACAAAAAAUUAUCAGAUCAAAGAAUAUAGAGAUAUAUAAGAGGGUCUCACUCACUACUGCCAGCCUGUGCUCCACAUCUUCCUGCUGCUCUGCCGCCUAGAAGGAGGAGCUCUUCCCGCUCCUCCACCAAUCACAAUGGAAAAAGAGAUUGCCAUACUUGUCAUUGACAAUGGCUCCAGCAUGUGCAAAGCUGGUUUUGCUGGGGAUAACACCCCUCGAACCAUGUUUCCCUCCACCGUCAGGUGCCCCCAACACCAGGGCAUGAUGGUGGGGAUGGGCCAGAAGGACUUCUACCUGGGCGACAAGGCCCAGAGCAAGCACAGCAUCUUGACGCUGAAGUACCCCAUCGAGCACAGGAUCGUCACCAACCAGGAAGACAUGGAGAAGAUCUGGCAUCACACUGGCUACAGCAAGCUGCGUGUAUUCCUGGAGGAGCACCCGGUGCUGCUGACCGAGGGCCCCCUAAACCCCAAGGCCAACAGAGAGAAGAUGGCUCAGAUCAUGUUUGAGACCUUCAAUACCCUGGACAUGUACGUGGCAGUCCAGGCCAUACUUCUAUGCCUCUGGGCGCACUACUGGCAUUAUCAUGGAUUCUGGAGAUGGAGUCACACACAGUGCCUGUCUACGAGGGCUGUGCCCUCCCCACGCCAUCCUGUGUCUGGACCUGGCUGGUCAGAACCUGACCACCUCAUGAAGAUUCUCACAGAGUGUGACUACAGCUUCACUAGCACGGCCGAGCGGGAGAUCGUGCAUGACAUCAAGGAGAAGCAGUUCUACGUCGCCCUGGACUUUGAGCAGGAGAUGCCCACUGCCAUGUCAUCCUCCUCCCUGGAGAAAAGCUACAAACUACCUAACAGCCAGGUGAUCACCAUUGGCAACAUGCAGUUCCAGUAUUUGGAGGCGUUCCAGCCCUUCUUUCUGGACGUGGAAUUUUGCAGCAUCCGUGAGAUCACCUUCAGCUCCAUCAUAAAGUAUGAUGUGGACAUCCACAAGGACCUGUACGCCAACACAGUGCUGGCCAGUGGCACCACCAUGUACCCAGGCAUCUCCAACAGGAUGCAGAAAGAGAUCACUGCCCUGGUGCCCAGCACAAGGAAGAUCAAGAUCAUUGCGUUCCUAGAGCGCAGGUACUCCGUGUGGAUCAGCAGCUCCAUCCUGGCCUCAUUGUCCACCUUCCAGCAGAUGUGGAUUAGCAAGCAGGAGUAUGACGAGUUGGGCCCCUCCAUGUCCACUGCAAAUGCUUCUAAAUGGACUACAAGCAGAUGUGUAGCAUUUGCUGCAUAGGGUAAUUCAGAUGUAUAAAUUUGCCCCGACAAAUGUAUACACCUCAUGCCAGUCUCACAAAACUGGAAUAAGCUUUUGGAAAGAAAUUUGUCCUUGAAGCUUGAUCAGCAGUGGAUUGUAGAACUUGUUGCUAAUUUUGACCUUGUAUUCAAGUUAACUGUUCUCUUGGUAUUUGUUUAAUACUCUGUUCAUGUCUUUGAUUUCAACCCUUAGCACAUGUGGUUUGGGCACUUCAUUACUGAGAUGAAGAACAUGCCUGUGGAAGACAAGUCCAUGGCUUGGUGGGUCUGUGUGGCUGGCAGUCUCCCACUGGUGCAGGGUAUUAAUAUAUCAGGGCUGAGUAUUCUGGGAUUUCUCUAGAGGCUGGCAAGGGCUGCUGAACCAGUUGUCAUUUCUGUCUUGCCUGUAGGACCCAGUUUCCUUUCUUAGCUGAUGUUUUCCUGCCAGAACACCAUGGGCUGUUACUUGCCUUGAGUUGGAAGCGGUUUGCAUUUACACC